rnacentral:rRNA from 1 species
CACACAGUAAACGAUGAAUACUCGCUGUUUGCGAUAUACAGUAAGCGGCCAAGCGAAAGCAUUAAGUAUUCCACCUGGGGAGUACGCCGGCAACGGUGAAACUCAAAGGAAUUGACGGGGGCCCGCACAAGCGGUGGAGCAUGUGGUUUAAUUCGAAGCAACGCGAAGAACCUUACCAAGGCUUGACAUCCCUCUGACCGGUGUAGAGAUACACCUUCUCUUCGGAGCAGAGGUGACAGGUGG